rnacentral:rRNA from 1 species
GGGGGGCCAGGGAAGCAAAUUUACCCCAAUUUCUAACCAGUUUGGAGAGGAAGGUAAGGUAACAAGAAAUAACAAUACAAGGCAGUUAAAAUGCUUUGUAAUUGGAAUGAUAGAAAUUUAAACCCUUUUUAAAGUAUCAAUUGGAGGGCAAGUCUGGUGCCAGCAGCCGCGGUAAUUCCAGCUCCAAUAGCGUAUAUUAAAAUUGUUGCAGUUAAAAAGCUCGUAGUUGAAGUUCUGCUGAAAGUAACCGGUCUGCUUUUAAUAAAAGUGGUAUCUUGGUAUGUAUUUAGCAAUGAUGUCCUUUGAAGUGUUUUUUACUUUAUUGUAAUAAAGCAUAUUCAGGACUUUUACUUUGAGAAAAUUAGAGUGUUUCUAGCAGGCUAACGCUUUGAAUACUGCAGCAUGGAAUAAUAAGAUAGGAUUUUAGUUCUACAUUAUUGGUUUUAAGAGCUAAAUUAAUGAUUGAUAGGGACAGUUGGGGGCAUUCGUAUUUAAA